rnacentral:misc_RNA from 1 species
UACGUAGGGAGCGAGCGUUGUCCGGAAUUACUGGGUGUAAAGGGUGCGUAGGCGGGUAUGCAAGUCAUAUGUGAAAUACCGAGGCUCAACUUCGGAACUGCAUAAGAAACUGCAUAUCUUGAGUGCAGGAGAGGUAAGCGGAAUUCCUAGUGUAGCGGUGAAAUGCGUAGAUAUUAGGAGGAACACCAGUGGCGAAGGCGGCUUACUGGACUGUAACUGACGCUGAGGCACGAAAGCGUGGGGAACAAACAGG